rnacentral:sRNA from 1 species
UAGUAGUAAACCAUUAACAAAUUCCUGGAAAAAGUUAUCUAAAAUUGAGGGACGUGUCGUCUGACCUUAAAUUCUAUUUUUUUUUUAAUUACCACUUUUACUUUGGUAUCUUUAAUGGAAUAAAAGUGUCAACUGUCGAGUUAUAAGCCAGAUAUCGAGUGUCCAGGCUCUAACCUUGUUUUGCAUUGUUUGCAAAUAAUUUAAAUUGAUACAGACCUAAAAAGAAAAUAUUAUGUUUAAAGCGCUGCUUUCCUUUUGAUUGUUUUCAGAAUUUGUUUGAAAGGAAAGAGUAUUGUUUAAACUUUUACUGGUAUAUACAACAAAACACUGAGCUUUAUAUCUCGCUUAUCACUGGACAACUGAAAAUCAACAUUUGCCUAUCACUUAACUUUUCUCAUUUACUUUUCUUUUACAUAGAAAUUGGUAAAUUUAUUUGAAAUAUAUUCAACUCAAAUGACCAUGGUCCUUACGAGCAAUCGCUAAUCUAAGAAUUGCAGUUUUUAAUAUAGAAAGGCACUAAGCCAUAGUUUGUCAGAACUUCUCCGGUGAAUAAAUCUUUUAUACUGUUAAUAUUUUUAUAACGCAUGUUUUCAUCCUGUUUUAUUAUUUAUCAAUAAUUAUUCAAAUCAAUCUAUAUUGUUAUCUUGUUGUAUGUUUUCUGUUCGUCACAGUUGUUAAGUGUUUUAAUGUUUAUUUUUUUUUAUUAUUUAGCAUUAAACCUUGUCAUAAUAUGAAUGUAUAAUAUUAGUAAUAUCUUUAUUUUUUGAUUUUUUUUUAACAAUCAAACUAACUUUUGGAUUGCUUUUUUUUUUAAAUUUGACACUUCUUUUACAGUUUUAUUAUUUAGUACUUUAUUUUGUAGCUCUAUUUCGUCUUUAUAAAUAAACGUUUCUUGAAAUU